AACGAACGCUGGCGGCGUGCCUAAUACAUGCAAGUCGAGCGGACCACUUCGGUAGUCAGCGGCGGUCGGGUGAGUAACACGUGGGCAACCUGCCUGUAAGACUGGGAUAACACCGGGAAGCCGGUGCUAAUACCGGAUAAUCCUUUCCUUCACAUGAGGGAAAGCUGAAAGACGGUUUCGGCUGUCACUUACAGAUGGGCCCGCGGCGCAUUAGCUAGUUGGUGAGGUAACGGCUCACCAAGGCGACGAUGCGUAGCCGACCUGAGAGGGUGAUCGGCCACACUGGGACUGAGACACGGCCCAGACUCCUACGGGAGGCAGCAGUAGGGAAUCUUCCGCAAUGGACGAAAGUCUGACGGAGCAACGCCGCGUGAGCGAUGAAGGCCUUCGGGUCGUAAAGCUCUGUUGUCAGGGAAGAACAAGUACCGGAGUAACUGCCGGUACCUUGACGGUACCUGACCAGAAAGCCACGGCUAACUACGUGCCAGCCGCCGCCGUAAUAC
rnacentral:rRNA from 1 species